CCCCAGGACGCUCACACUAUGAAAGGAAGGAAUGGGACUAAAGGUCAAUAUGAGACCAAGGAAGUGGUUUUGGUUCAGUGUUUUGUUUUGUUUGUAAAGGGAGCGACUCAAGCAGUGGAUGUGCUGAGAAUAGUGAGCCAGAGGAGGGAACCCAGGUGGGGAAGGUGUUCCAAAGGGGUUGAGUAUGGAAUAAGAAAGGUCUUUGGGCACAUGGUGGAGGCGGGACCCUGUCAAUGGUGCAGGGAGAGAGAAGAUCACUUCUAUCUCUGAGACCACAAGAGGCAAUGGAGACAGCUGCAGAGGCAGUUCCAGUAAUUCGAUCAGUGGAUGGCUACAAAAAAGAGAAAGUCUUCAAAGAGGAGAUGGCAUUUGCACUUGAAAAGCUCCACCGUGUUGAGAUGGAUGGAAUGCGUCCCAUCAAAUGUACAGAACUUAGAGAUGACAUCAAGAUCUGGUUAUGGUAACUACAGAAGGCUCUUGUUAGGAGGCAGAAUCCAAACAGUUUGGCUAAGAAAGAGAGCCACUGGGCUGAGCUAAGAGUUUGGAUGUGAUUCUGCAGGUGGUGAAUGUGGAAGAGAUGGCUCCACCUAAAUCCAUACUAUACUUCCCCAGUGUGAGUUCCCACUGAGAAGGGGCAUCUGUAUCCAGCCAGGACUACAUUUCCCAGAACUCCUUCUUUUCCGGGCAGGGCCAUGUGACCAGUUCUGGACAAAGGAAUGUGAGCCGAAGUGAUGUGAUUCAUGUCCACGCUAAGGCCAUUAAGAGGCAGUUGUGCUCUCUCUUCUUGGGCAAUUGAGAGGCAGUUGUGCCCUCUCCUGCCUGGAUGCAGAGGACCCAGUAGAUGGAAGAGCCUCAAAAGGAAAAGGGCCCAUGUCCCUAAACUUCAAGAGGGGAAACAUCUCCUAAAAACCAGGAACACCAGAUGAGUGAAAAGUGCACAUGUGUUAGGUCAUCAGUACCUGCAUAAAAGAGACUGGGUCUUUUUCCUCCUGGAGUUUUCCCAAGUUUUGGUGGUAGGAGGCUGUAGGUGGAGUUGACCUCAGAGUGUUCUGAUGGGGACCUCAAGUGAGAGAUGGCAGACCUGUCCAGCCCCUCUCCAUCAAGAGAAGGAAGAACCCUCCCGAGGAGGCAGCCUGGGUGGUGCUGGGAUUUGGCCAAGACACUCCAUCUGCUGGAAAGGCAACGGAAAGCUUCGAACCACUUUCUUUUGGCUUGUGAACUCACCGGCUAAUUGACAAAUGUGCGUCCUGUGCAUGAGCUGCGAAGAUUUUCCAUGAUCAGCAGAGCCCAGUGAUAUCUGGGGUUCACCAAGAGCUGUGGGGCCCUUUGUGUCUAGAAACUUCUGGCCAUUGUCAGCAGAGAGGCCCCUGGUCGCUGUUCAGGGUCCUGCUCACUGGCAACCCAUGACAUACUGAGAGUCAUCAUUGUCCAAUGCUGAGCACAUAGUGAGUCCUCAAGAAAUAGUUCUUGAAUGAAUGAGUGAGUGAGUGAGUGAAAGAACAAGAGAAUAAAAGAACAAAAUGAGACCAUAUGCUUUUUACACCAAGUUGUAAGUUCAAUCCCUAACUGUGCCAAAAAGUUUUAAUUCUUUCCAGAAUUAAGGCCAUGCCAUGUGGUCCUAUGAGGGCCUUCUCUGAUUGUUUGUUUAUCAGCGAAUAUUUAUUGGGCUCCUACUAAGGGCAGGUUCUGAGCUCUAGCUGGACGCACCAGCCCAGCCAUCGGAUGGUGGGAAACCGUCUCUAAGCGCUGGAAGCUUAUCAGCGUGGGUGGGGACAGCAUCCCUGGCUGUGAGGAAG
rnacentral:lncRNA from 1 species